GGCUAAAUGUAGCCCGAGAAGCGCAGGGCUGGUGCCUUUGUAUGUGGCAGCCCAUGAACCACAUAAUUAGCAGUUGUUCAGUUCUUCUGAAUCUCGUGAGGAUAUUUGCUUUAGCCUUGCCAAUCUUUAGGAGUGAUAACUGUAUAAAAUAACUUUUUUCCACUGAGCUCAUUUAAAAUUGUAAUGCAGAAUGUUAGAAAAUGAAGUCCCCCACUUUAAAAAAAGAAUUUUAAUUAUUUGUUAUUUGCUUUCUUUUUGAGAAAAUGAAGUUGUGGAUAUUUGCACUUCGCAAGAGACAGUUUUGUUCUGAGGUAGAGCAGAAGACCUAAGAUAAACCAGCUGUUGGCAAAGUCAAGGUCUGGGCAGAUGGAGCUUGAUGCUGCAAUAAUUUGCUGAAGCCACUCCAUAUUUUGUUCUCAGCAAGGAAAAAGCUAUACUGAAUCCAAUGACAAUCAGUUCCAUUACUUCUUGAAGACAUGUAAACUUUCAGCUUUCAGAACAUCUCAUGCCAAGGAAUAUUAUCUUCAUAUAUCUUCAAGCAGAAAAGUGGAAACCUUCCAUCUAGUCUGGCUUUUGCUCGUCCAUCAAGAAUGUUAAAUCCAAGGAUAUUAUGAUUGUUGUUAUAGAGUGAUUCUUCAAAGACAACCUUUUGAAUCUGGCCCUGGGUUCUAGAAAGUCUCCCUCCAAAAGUCAGAUGAGAUUGUUAUGCUUGAAACAAAAAUCCCUGCAUCCUAGUUUUCAUUAUACUUUGAUGUUGCUUUUCAGAUAUUAGCUGUAGAAUAUAUAUUCAUCUUGCUCAAAAGAGCCAUACAACUGAGUACUGUUUUGCCAUGUUCUUGGCUUUAAGGACCAAUUUUCACUGCCAUCAUCUUAGAACUUGGCUAAGAGACUUUCAAUGGGAGUUGUAUUUGAUUUAUUUUCCAGCUAUAUCUGAUCUUAACAAAUUACACAUAUAAAUCCUCUACUUGGUAUAUAUUGUCAUAAAGAGGGAUCGAGAUUGCACUGACAACUCAUUUUGUGUUCAGAAGUAUAUAUCAAAUCAACUACUCAGCAGUAGGAAUUUAAGAAAUUGACACGAUGUCAUCUCCAAGCAAAUAAAUUUUAUAGCAGGUUCUCUGACACAUGUAAACGGCUUGGCUCAAUGCUGUUAUCUAAACGCAGGCAGCUCCUACCAUAUUCGAUGCCCUGUGAUAACCGAGACAUCCACACAGGGCUGACAAAUAUCCACAGAAGACCUAUGUGGACCCUUCAGGAGAGGCAGCUUGGGGCUAGAUGGCCUACCACAGAGCAUCUCAAGGAUACUACGUCCCUAUGUUUAGGCAAGUAGAGACAUUCAGAGAACAGUAGGAGAUCACUUUAAAACAGAUUUUUAAAAAGCACUUCUUUAGAUAAUGGAUACUGGGAUUUUCUGCCCUGAAGGCUGUGGAGACAGACAGUGUCACUGGGUUCAAAAAGUAUUUCAAAAAUUAAAGAACAAUAUGUCCAUAAAUGGAUAUUAAAGGGAAUAGGCAGGGAUGUAGCCUAUAACAUCCACAGACAUUGGUCAGGCUCGCAUGUUCUCUCUAACUCGUGUUUGCUUUGUCCUUUGUCAGGGCCUGAGUACUGGGCUAGGGGGACCACUGGGCUGACCAAGUAAGGAACUUCUUAUGUUCUUACAUCUGUAACUGAAUCCUCCACUGUAGCACAGGAAAGAAAGAGGUAACUCUUAGGGGAACCAGAACAUUAUUUGAAAACUAUUUUACCUUUAGUUCACAACUUGUUUAAGAACUAGUCUUCCACCUUUUUGCUCGUGCCAAAACCCUUUUAUUAGUGGGCUCUCUGAGCUAUUCCACAUAAUCCACUUUCUAGAAGAGAUUACCUGCAAUCUUUCACCAAAAAGAAUUCCCUUCUGUUAAUAAAGCUUCUCCCUGUGCAGUUAACUCACAUAUGAUGCAGACAAAUUAUUGGCAUUUAAUAGAAAAAUCCCUUUAAUAAAAGCAUAUUCAUUCUGUGGUGUUCAGUGAUUAACGUAACCAAAUGCUUCCAAUUAAUUUUCCCCUUAAUUUGCAAUGAAUUCCUAUAAAUAAAGAGCUAUGCACCUGGACAGAUGAAGGAUUUCCCAUUUUCACCCAGUAUGAAGAGAAAGGAGAAAAAUGGUUGAAAAAGAAAGACCAAAAUUGAUGCUAACUUUAGCACAGUUAUACAAGUUCAUGCUGGCUGAGCCAUAGCUCUUAAAGAAAUUUCUGAGAACCACUAGUCAGUGGCAUAAUUGACUUUUGGUGGCUUCAAAAGGCCAUGAACACAGCUAAUAGUUUUUGGCAGUUCCAAAGGCAUUAAUCAUGAUCAAUGUGCAAUAUUAAAUAAGGCUCCUUCAAAAUGAAUAUAAAUUAAGACUGUAAUUCCAUCUCAGCCUUCUGGUGACUUGAGGAAACCACUUGAGUUUCACUCUCGUGGUUUAUGAUGUCCCCGGAAGCCUUUGAUGGAAUUAUAGCCUUAUUAAGUACAGUUGGGGUACAUUAUUCCUUAAACUAUUGCAGCUGUAAGUCAUUAUUCCCACUAGAAAUUAGAACUUGCUGUACUUUCAGCAGCCAUGUAAUCUCAAAGUAAGAUGGAGGG